UAAUGCGCUAUAUAUAAUUUCUUAUUUUCUAUAAAUAUCGUUGUUAUGAUAACCUUAACGGGAUAUCCGGUACAGCUAAAAAUAUAAAAUUUUAAAAAAGAAGACUAGAAAAGUAGCCCUCGGAAUGACACCGUGUUCGGCUCGUUGUUUAUGCAAAAGUAUGGACGACCGAAAAUCUAGCCCCCAAUAAGAAAAAAAUAAUUUGUAUUGAAUUGAUUAUAACUAGAGAACGGUUUGAUGGACUUUAAUGUUUUAUAUCUCUCUAUUAUGGCUGAGUAAUUCUGUGUAGAGUAUAUUGAACACUUCCAUAUCUGAAGCUGCUAGUUUUCCAUAUUUACAUAUAGAUAGAAUAAUCCUGCAAAAUAAUUUAAUAUAAAAUAGUAUUAUUUAAGUGUUUGCCUAACCUAUCCUUUGAUAUGGACUCCCUCCGCUGAUAGAAUGAGAGUCAUUCGGCUUGCACAUACAACAUAUUAAUCCUAAUAUUCCACGUGGAAAAUAACUAUGAUGCUCUGAUCUCAAUGAGAGUUAGUACUCAUGGAGGCAUUGUGGUUAGUGAGGCUUACAAACCCUCCAGCAUGCCUACGAAGUGUGUAUAUUUGCAUCAUGGUUAUUUUCCACGUGGAGCAAUGGGAUUGAUAUGUUGUAUGCGCAAGCCGAUUGACUCACCUUCUAUCAGCGGAACGAGCCCAUAUCAAAGGAUAGGUUCGGCAAACACUUAAAUAAUACUAUUUUAAUAUUAAAUUAUUUUGCACGAAUGUUCUACUUAUAUUUACAUAUGGUACACUAGCUCAAGAUACGGAAGUGUUCAAUAUAUUUUCUACGAAGAAUAAUAAUAAAAAUUCCUUAUGUAUGUAUAAAUAGAAUAUUCGUGCAAAAUAAUUUGAUAUUAAAAUAGUAUUAUUUAAGUGUUGGCCUAACCUACCAUUUAAAUGACUCCAUAUAUCUACCGACUGGAAGUCUGGCCCCCAAUUAUAAAAAAUUAAUUUUGAUUAAAUUCGCUAUAACUAAAGAACGGUUUGACCGAUUUUAAUGUUUUAUAUCCCAAACGAAAGCUUGUAUCUGGCUGAAUAAUUCUUUGUAAAGUAUAUUGAACACUUACAUAUAAUAAUAAUAAUGCUUUAAAAUUUUAAAAUAAACUAUUCCCCUGUGAAAAAUGAUCCUAUUAUACAUAUUUAGCCACCCACACUCUUUUAAAUUAUGCGAGAUUUUGCAGUACUUUCGUAUUCCAUAAAUUAGUCUUAAACACCCAUUUUGGACGUACUGCACCCGUUUUCGUUUGUCCUUAAUUAUGCAAGCAGCAUAGACCGAGUCACAGUGAUGAAAAUUGGAUAAAAUCAAAGAAUCAGUCAGUAAUCUUUUACUGUUCUCAUUUAAUACUUGCCGAUAUGGAUAAAGGGAUUUUCAUACGCAAUAUGAUUUCUGUACUAGCUUAUUUAUUUGUGAAUUAAAUUUCAAAUCAUCAUCUAUUAACAAACCCAAAUUUUUCACAGUGCACACGUGCUGUAGUUCUUGAUUAUUUACACAAAUUUUAAGAUUGUCAUUAAUAAAUUUCAUACGAUUUUUGUUACCAAAUACUAUCACAUUAGAUUUGCUGGAGUUUACUUUUAGGCCAUGCCACUCAGAAAUGUCAACAAGUGAUUGCACAUCAGAAUUUAUUUUGACAGCAGCAACAUUAGUCUCGGUGUGAGGAAAUGAUAUUAAUAACUGAUCAUCAUCUGCAUAAGCAUGGUAUUUACAAUGCUUCAAGUCCGUAUAGAACAUACUAGUAUAAAUGAUGAAUAAUAAAGGACCACAUAUACUACCCUGAGGAACUCCUUUAGAGACAAACAAAUGCUUUGGAAUAACACUCCGCAACACACCGUCCACAACAUCCAUUAGUACAGUAUUGCAACUAUGACCCGGUCUAAAAACUGACUGGUUGUCAGGUAAAAUGCUUAUAGGUCUAAAAUCAGUAUAGCAGUUGAGGAGAGUUAAUUUUUGGCUAUGGAGUGACUACAGAAAUCUUCCAACAGUCAGGGAAAACGGCUUCCAAGAGACGUGUAUUAAUGAUAUGCGUAAUCAUAUCUAAUAAGAAUGGACACGACAUUUUUAUUGUAUUUAUGCCAAGAAGAUCGCUUCCAACGGUAUUGGAGUGAAUAUAUGAUAUAACUUUAGCCACUUCACCCGGUGCCGGUGUUGUAUGAAAAGGAAACAAUUGUUUAAAAUUUCGUAACGUAGUGUUGUUAUAAUAUUGUAAUAAAUCAUGAUCAAUGUUAUUAUUUGAAUUGUUCAAGAAAUAAUCAUUGAAUUAAUCUGCAUCAGAAAAACGUUCAGGGACUUAUUAUAUGUUUUCCAUAAAUCUUAAGCUGCUAGUUUUCCAUAUGUACAUACACUGAGGGAAAUAGAUUGUACGAAUCGUAUUAUAGAAAAAAUAUUAUACAUGCAGCAAUUCAUUGUAUUAUAUUCAUUAUAUUUAUUGUACUGAAUACAAUCUCGUCUCGCUGUCACUAUUCAUAAUAAACGUAUUAUACCUUAUAGUAUAUUUUUAGUGCAUAGUACAAUCCAUUUCUCUCAGUGUAUGAAUAUUCGUGCAAAAUAAUUUGAUAUUAAAAUAGGACCAUUUAAGUAUUUGCUUAACCUAUCCCUUGAUAUGGGGUCCCGCCGCUGAUAGAAUGAGAGUCAUUCGGCUUGCGCAUACAACAUAUCAAAUCCUAUUAUUCCACGUGGAAAAUAACCAUGAUGCUCUGAUCUCAAUGAGAGUUAGUACUUUCAUGGAGGCAUUGUCGUUAGCGAGGCUUACAAACCCUCCAGCAUGCCUAUGAAGUGGGUAUAUUUGCAUCUUGGUUAUUUUCCACGUGGAACAAUAGGAUUGAUAUGUUGUAUGUGCAAGCCGAAUGACUCUCAUUCUGUCAGCAGACGGAGCCCAUAUCAAAGGAUAGGUUCGGCAAACACUUAAAUAAUACUAUUUCAAUAUUAAAUUAUUUUGCACGAAUGUUCUAUUUAUGUGUACAUACAUAUGGAAAAUCUGGAUACGUAAAUCGAUAAAGCGUACUUACAUGUUAAUUAAAAUAUUUGAACUGUAAUAAUAAUCAUAAUAAAUGCCUCUUAUUAAAUUCAUGUAAUUUAUGGUUUUUAAAUUAAUAAAUAAUCUCUAAACAUC
rnacentral:lncRNA from 1 species